GACGAACGCUGGCGGCGUGCUUAACACAUGCAAGUCGAACGGAAAGGCCCUGCUUUUGUGGGGUGCUCGAGUGGCGAACGGGGGAGUAACACGUGAGUAACCUGCCCUUGACUUUGGGAUAACUUCAGGAAACUGGGGCUAAUACAGGAUAGGAGCUCCUGCUGCAUGGUGGGGGUUGGAAAGUUUCGGCGGUUGGGGAUGGACUCGCGGCUUAUCAGCUUGUUGGUGGGGUAGUGGCUUACCAAGGCUUUGACGGGUAGCCGGCCUGAGAGGGUGACCGGCCACAUUGGGACUGAGAUACGGCCCAGACUCCUACGGGAGGCAGCAGUGGGGAAUAUUGCACAAUGGGCGGAAGCCUGAUGCAGCAACGCCGCGUGCGGGAUGACGGCCUUCGGGUUGUAAACCGCUUUCGCCUGUGACGAAGCGUGAGUGACGGUAAUGGGUAAAGAAGCACCGGCUAACUACGUG
rnacentral:rRNA from 1 species